rnacentral:rRNA from 1 species
GAUGAACGCUGGCGGCGCGCCUAACACAUGCAAGUCGAACGGUUAAAGCAUCUUCGGAUGUGCAUAAAGUGGCGAACGGCUGAGUAACACGUGGGCAACCUGCCCCUCGCAUCGGGACAGCCUCGGGAAACCGUGGUUAAUACCGGAUACUCCGCCACCCCCGCAUGGGGGAGGCGGGAAAGCCCAGACGGCGAGGGAUGGGCCCGCGGCCUGUUAGCUUGUUGGUGGGGCAGUGGCCCACCAAGGCGAUGAUGGGUAGCCGGGUUGAGAGACCGACCGGCCAGAUUGGGACUGAGACACGGCCCAGACUCCUACGGGAGGCAGCAGUGGGGAAUCUUGCACAAUGGGCGAAAGCCUGAUGCAGCGACGCCGCGUGCGGGACGAAGGCCUUCGGGUCGUAAACCGCUUUCAGCAGGGACGAGGCCGCAAGGUGACGGUACCUGCAGAAGAAGCCCCGGCUAACUACGUGCCAGCAGCCGCGGUAAUACGAAGGGGGCGAGCGUUAUCCGGAUUCAUUGGGCGUAAAGCGCGCGUAGGCGGCCUGCUAGGUCGGGAGUCAAAUCCGGGGGCUCAACCCCCGUCCGCUCCCGAUACCGGCUGGCUUGAGUCUGGUAGGGGAAGGUGGAAUUCCCAGUGUAGCGGUGGAAUGCGCAGAUAUUGGGAAGAACACCGGUGGCGAAGGCGGCCUUCUGGGCCACGACUGACGCUGAGGCGCGAAAGCUAGGGGAGCGAACAGG